rnacentral:rRNA from 1 species
GAUGAACGCUGGCGGCGUGCCUAAUACAUGCAAGUCGAGCGAACGGACGAGAAGCUUGCUUCUCUUAUGUUAGCGGCGGACGGGUGAGUAACACGUGGAUAACCUACCUAUAAGACUGGGAUAACUUCGGGAAACCGGAGCUAAUACCGGAUAAUAUUUUGAACCGCAUGGUUCAAAAGUGAAAGACGGUCUUGCUGUCACUUAUAGAUGGAUCCGCGCUGCAUUAGCUAGUUGGUAAGGUAACGGCUUACCAAGGCAACGAUGCAUAGCCGACCUGAGAGGGUGAUCGGCCACACUGGAACUGAGACACGGUCCAGACUCCUACGGGAGGCAGCAGUAGGGAAUCUUCCGCAAUGGGCGAAAGCCUGACGGAGCAACGCCGCGUGAGUGAUGAAGGUCUUCGGAUCGUAAAACUCUGUUAUUAGGGAAGAACAUAUGUGUAAGUAAAUGUGCACAUCUUGACGGUACCUAAUCAGAAAGCCACGGCUAACUACGUG